UGCAGUCGAGGGGUAACAGGAGAUUGCUUGCAAUCUUGCUGACGACCGGCGCACGGGUGCGUAACGCGUAUAGAACCUACCUUAUAUUGGGGGAUAGCCCAGAGAAAUUUGGAUUAAUACCCCAUAGUAUGCUGAAUUGGCAUCAGUUUAGUAUUAAAGAUUUAUCGAUAUAAGAUGGCUAUGCGUUCUAUUAGCUAGUUGGUAAGGUAACGGCUCACCAAGGCGACGAUAGAUAGGGGUCCUGAGAGGGAGAUCCCCCACACUGGUACUGAGACACGGACCAGACUCCUACGGGAGGCAGCAGUGAGGAAUAUUGGACAAUGGAGGCAACUCUGAUCCAGCCAUGCCGCGUGCAGGAAGACUGCCCUAUGGGUUGUAAACUGCUUUUAUAGAGGAAGAAACCGCUCUACGUGUAGAGCUCUGACGGUACUCUACGAAUAAGGAUCGGCUAACUCCGUGCCAGCAGCCGCGGUAAUACGGAGGAUCCAAGCGUUAUCCGGAAUCAUUGGGUUUAAAGGGUCCGUAGGCGGGCUUAUAAGUCAGUGGUGAAAGUUUGCGGCUCAACCGUAAAAUUGCCAUUGAUACUGUAGGUCUUGAAUCAUUGUGAAGUGGUUAGAAUGUGUAGUGUAGCGGUGAAAUGCAUAGAUAUUACACAGAAUACCGAUUGCGAAGGCAGAUCACUAACAAUUGAUUGACGCUCAGGGACGAAAGCGUGGGUAGCGAACAGGAUUAGAUACCCUGGUAGUCCACGCCGUAAACGAUGGUUACUAGCUGUUUGGACUUCGGUCUGAGUGGCUAAGCGAAAGUGAUAAGUAACCCACCUGGGGAGUACGUUCGCAAGAAUGAAACUCAAAGGAAUUGACGGGGGCCCGCACAAGCGGUGGAGCAUGUGGUUUAAUUCGAUGAUACGCGAGGAACCUUACC
rnacentral:rRNA from 2 species